rnacentral:rRNA from 1 species
GAUGAACGCUGGCGGCGUGCCUAAUACAUGCAAGUCGAACGGGGAGUAGCAAUACUCUUAGUGGCGAACGGGUGAGUAACGCGUUGGUACCUGCCCCGAAGCGGGGGAUAACGGACCGAAAGGUCCGCUAAUACCCCAUGUGCUCGGUAACGAGUAAAGGUGAAAACCACUUUGGGAGGGGCCUGCGUCCCAUCAGCUAGUUGGUAAGGUAACGGCUUACCAAGGCGAUGACGGGUAGGGGACCUGAGAGGGUAGCCCCCCACAAUGGAACUGAAACACGGUCCAUACACCUACGGGUGGCAGCAGUAGGGAAUAUUGGUAAUGGGCGCAAGCCUGAACCAGCAACGCCGCGUGUGCGAUGACGGCCUUCGGGUUGGAAAGCACUUUUGACUGGGACGAGGAAGGACGGUACCGGUCGAAUCAGCCUCGGCUAACUACGUG